CGGUAGGUCUUAGGCGGGGGGCUAGGGGUCCCCUGCACCGUAAAUCCUCUAUAGGACGGGCUGACAACAGGGGAUGAGGCAUCUAAGGCCGUCUAUACCCUCAUUUCCGAAGCGAUGAGUAUCCGUCCCUUGGGGCCAGCGGUCACUGAGCAGUUUCCGUAGGGAAGCCGUCUUCAGUGUUCGCCAGGCGAAUCCGGCUAGGCCCGGGAGGGAGCAACCUAAGUCUGGACGUUUGGCGCUCAAGGGGGUGCGGGUAAUAGCAUAGGGCUUGGGGGCUGGGCGGAGUCUGGGUGUCGAACCUCUGUGACCUGCCG
rnacentral:SRP_RNA from 1 species